rnacentral:siRNA from 1 species
UUGAUGAAUCCGAACAAACCACCA